rnacentral:rRNA from 1 species
GGGGAACCAGGACUUUUACUGUGAAAAAAUUAGAGUGCUCCAGGCAGGCCUAUGCUCGAAUACAUUAGCAUGGAAUAAUAGAAUAGGACGUGUGGUUCUAUUUUGUUGGUCUCUAGGACCGCCGUAAUGAUUAAUAGGGACAGUCGGGGGCAUCAGUAUUCAAUUGUCAGAGGUGAAAUUCUUGGAUUUAUUGAAGACUAACUACUGCGAAAGCAUUUGCCAAGGAUGUUUUCAUUAAUCAGGGAACGAAAGUUAGGGGAUCGAAGACGAUCAGAUACCGUCGUAGUCUUAACCAUAAACUAUGCCGACUAGGGAUCGGACGGUGUUAUUUUUUGACCCGUUCGGCACCUUACGAGAAAUCAAAGUGCUUGGGCUCCAGGGGGAGUAUGGUCGCAAGGCUGAAACUUAAAGAAAUUGACGGAAGGGCACCACCAGGGGUGGAGCCUGCGGCUUAAUUUGACUCAACACGGGGAAACUCACCAGGUCCAGACACAAUGAGGAUUGACAGAUUGAGAGCUCUUUCUUGAUUUUGUGGGUGGUGGUGCAUGGCCGUUCUUAGUUGGUGGAGUGAUUUGUCUGCUUAAUUGCGAUAACGAACGAGACCU